rnacentral:rRNA from 1 species
CCUACGGGAGGCUGCAGUAGGGAAUAUUGCUCAAUGGGGGAAACCCUGAAGCAGCAACGCCGCGUGGAGGAUGAAGGUUUUCGGCUUGUAAACUCCUUUUGUUAGGGAAGAUAAUGACGGUAUCUAACGAAUAAGCACCGGCUAACUCCGUGCCAGCAGCCGCGGUAAUACGGAGGGUGCAAGCGUUAAUCGGAAUCACUGGGCGUAAAGAGCGCGUAGGCGGGAUAGCAAGUCAGAUGUGAAAUCCUAUGGCUUAACCAUAGAACUGCCUUUGAAACUGGUAUUCUAGAGUAUGGGAGAGGUAUGUGGAAUGCGUGGUGUAGGGGUAAAAUGCGUAGAGAUCGAGCAGAAUACUCAUUGCGAAGGCGACCUGCUAGAACGUAACUGACGCUGAUGCGCGAAAGCGUGGGGAGCAAACAGGAUUAGAUACCCCUGUAGUC